CCUACGGGGGGCUGCAGUCGAGAAUCAUUCACAAUGGGGGAAACCCUGGUGGUGCGACGCCGCGUGGGGGAAUGAAGGUCUUCGGAUUGUAAACCCCUGUCAUGUGGGAGCAAAUUAAAAAGAUAGUACCACAAGAGGAAGAGACGGCUAACUCUGUGCCAGCAGCCGCGGUAAUACAGAGGUCUCAAGCGUUGUUCGGAAUCACUGGGCGUAAAGCGUGCGUAGGCUGUUUCGUAAGUCGUGUGUGAAAGGCGCGGGCUCAACCCGCGGACGGCACAUGAUACUGCGAGACUAGAGUAAUGGAGGGGGAACCGGAAUUCUCGGUGUAGCAGUGAAAUGCGUAGAUAUCGAGAGGAACACUCGUGGCGAAGGCGGGUUCCUGGACAUUAACUGACGCUGAGGCACGAAGGCCAGGGGAGCGAAAGGGAUUAGAUACCCGAGUAGUC
rnacentral:rRNA from 1 species